rnacentral:ncRNA from 2 species
AUCAGCCUUGGUGACUGACGGUAUAAGUUGAAUUAACAACAUGGAGCCAAGGUGUCGCACAUCGUCCGUCUGGGUACAUUUC